UACGAAGGGAGCUAGCGUUGUUCGGAAUCACUGGGCGUAAAGCGCACGUAGGCGGACCUACAAGUCGGGGGUGAAAUCCCGGGGCUCAACCCCGGAACGGCCUCCGAAACUGUGGGUCUGGAGGAUGAGAGAGGCGAGUGGAAUUCCGAGUGUAGAGGUGAAAUUCGUAGAUAUUCGGAGGAACACCAGUGGCGAAGGCGGCUCGCUGGCUCAUUUCUGACGCUGAGGUGCGAAAGCGUGGGGAGCAAACAGG
rnacentral:rRNA from 1 species